CCUGUCGCUCGUCGCUGUGGGCAACCGUCGUGUAACUAUUAGCAACCUGCACUUCCUGCAGGGGGGGCAGGAAGCUGGGCCAUGAUCCACUGCAGCCUCCUGGCGUCCUUCUGCGGUUUGAACACAAGGUGGCGGCAUCACACUGGCAGAGAACGACGGUUGCCCCGAGCCCGAGCGUUAAACGUGCGCCCUGGUCGGUACUUGACCUGACAACUGGGCAAACUUCAGCCAGUAGUGAAGACUGAGAGAUGUGGUUAAAAGCUCCAGAAAAACUAAACACACAAGCAUGACAACUGAGCAAACUCUAUCUGCAGAUGAAGAUCAUACAAUGAAGGUAAAAGCUCCAAAACAAGAGCUGA